CAGAUUUAUUAAGAGUUUUUAUUAAGGCUAUUGUAAAGGCUUCUUAAAAAUGCUGUCGCUGAUGAGCCUCUGAUCGCUGUCAGAUUCUGUGAUAUGAAUGUCCGCUAAUGGGUUUAGAAUGAGCCCCGCUCGGCCCGUGUUCUGGCUUACUGUAAUAUUUCACCUGUAAUAAGACCGAAAUAAUAUAAUUAAAAUAAAGAAAUGAAUGAAUACAUGAUAACAUCUAAAUAAAUGUUGAUAGAUUUAGCGUUAUAGUUUUAAAAAUAUUAAUAAACAGCAAAUCAACACAGCUUCGAAAUAAUAACCAAGAAAGACCUAAAUAAUAAUAAUACAUAAUUAAUAAACAGCGCCGCCCCUCCCACUACGCGCAUCACGCGCUGUGCGUCAACCCCAAAGCGUCAAAAACUGAAGCGUGGUCAAGCGCCUCUAGCGUCACUGACAUGAGAUGUUUAUCGCUUUGAAAUCACGUUCAAGAAGUCUCAUUCAGCACACAUCGCGAUACUUUCCAUCAGUUUGCAAGAGCCGCAGGUUGGGUGAGUUAUACAGUCUAUGGUGAGUAGUAGUAAAUAUGCUCUUUUAAUGCCUGUCAUAAAACGUAUUCUGUCUUCUUUAUUAAUCAGAUGAGCGCCUUAUGUUAACUCUCUGUAUUACAUCGGUCAUCCGAGGCUGUCUUUGAGUUUCAUUGUGUUUAACUAAAUGAGCACAGCUGCUAACUGGUUAAACUCUAUCGGUCACGUGACGUGCCACAGACCUGGGAUCCGUUUUAUAUUCAUUUCAGGUUCAAAGAUCUGAAAAGACGUAAAGUAAGCAGUCACCCCAGUGGUGUUUGUGGAGAGGUAUUCCUUCAGAAAUGGAGAAGACAGAAAGCUGCAGAGGCAGGAUUGUUUGCAGAUAAUGCUGUUCUUCUUUUUCAGAAGUUUUUGGGGAGCCAACCCUCACAAACCUUCCUAAAAACUAAAAGAGCUAUUACUGAGUCUCAGCGACUCUUGCCACGAUCAGCUCUUCCCAGAAGAGAAGGAAGACCAAGGAAAUGAUUUGCUCAGGAUGAGAAAUGAAGAUGGUCAUCUUGUGCUCAAGCAAACAGAAGUCCUCUGAUGAUCUCAUCAACCAAAUGAGGGGUUUUGACCAAGUGAUGCUCUUGAAAGGACUGAAAGAAGAGGAUGUGGUAAAUUGUCUUCAGAGAAAAAGCUUCUCAAAAGAUCUUAAAACAGCUUGAAGAAUGGUCUGGGAUCUUAGGACUGGGAGAUCUCACUUGCACCCAGUUAACCUCCAUAGAGAACAUUUAUCAGAAGCGCUGUCUGGGUAGGGCAAGAAACAUCAUCAAGGAUGCCUCUCACCCUAACCAUGGACCUUUCACCCUCCUUCCAUCCGGCAGGCGUUACAGGAGCCUACGCUCUCGAACUAGUAGACUCAGGAAGAGCUUCUUCCCCGAGGCUGUGACACUCCUGAACACCACACCACCAAUCUAACCUGCACCUGCUCUUUUACUGCACUGGUCACAGUACUUUACAUACAUGUAUUGCACUACUCAUAUUUUGCACAGACUGCACAUGGUUAAAUCCAUUACACUAUAAACUGUCUAAAGCUGUUACUGUACAAGCACAGUAAACUAUUUCUACAAUAAAUAUAAUUGCACUACUAUUAUUUUGCAUAUAAUAAAUUGUUAAACUAUACUUUUGCACACUCAUUCAACUGUAUUUAUUACCACUGUUCUCAAGUUCCUGCUAUUCAUAAUGUAUAUAUAA